AUGGUGUCGCCGGCGGGGCUGGUGGCGGAGAAAGCGGCGGCGACCGCUUUCGCGAACGUCGUCAUGGGAAGGCUCAACAGGGAGCUCGACAAGAAGUACCAGAUGUGGAAGAACAUCAGGACCGAGAUCUCAUCUCUCCAGACAGACCUCGGCAUCCUGGCAGCGGCCGUCGACGACCACCAGACCAUGGCCGCCGCUCCUCGCACGGCCGUCGCGAGGGUGUACGGCGAGGAGAUCCGCGAGCUGACCCAUGACAUCGAGGACUGCGUCGAGCGCUUCCUCCACCGCAUCACCUGCAAGCCGGGAGCAUCCCGGGCUCGCCGGUCCGCUCACGCCAUCAGGACGUUCCGCACCCGUCUCCGGUUCGCCGCCAAGAUCAAGGAGUUCAGGAGCCGCGUGGCUGAAGCACGUGAGCGGGCGUUGAAAGUUGCCAUGCUUGCUGAUGGUGCCCAACAAUCAAACAUCAUCGAUACAGUGGGAUAUGCGCAGGAUUGUUGCCAUCCUGUAGGCAUCGAGUGGGCCACCAUGGAGCUCCGUAGGCUGCUCGACAUCGAACCAAACCAAGAUGAAGCAGAGGGCACCAGUAACAACACCCCGGCUGCAGCUCAGGCUCAGCUACGGGUGGUCGCCAUAGUGGGAUUUGGUGGCUCGGGGAAGACGACCCUCGCAAAGGCAGUCUACGACAAUGUCCACAGGGAGGGAUCACUCCGCUGUGCCUGGGUUGAUGGGCACUCGCUGGAUCAUAAGGAUGCCAAUGGGAUCAUCCAACAUAUACAAGAGAAGCUUCAUUUGGGGGAAGGGUGUUCUGCAACACUUCCUACAGAACAACACCAGGACAGGUACUUCAUCGUUGUUGAUGACAUGAAGGACAAACACUUGAUGCAGUGGAAUUCAUUGAGGAAUGCCUUCAGGGAUAAUGGCAGAAUAAUUGUGACAACGGACACUCAGUCCCUAGCUAAUAGAUGUUGCAACCAUCCCCGGGAAGAGGAUAAAUGUACCUUUGGUUAUGUGUACAACAUGAAAAGUCUUGGAGAAGAAGAUUCUCGAAAAAUAGCUCUCCUGGGAAGAUGUACACCCGAGCUAGUGCUGGGUGCAGCAAAACUCCUGAAGAAAUGUGGUGGUCUUCCGCUUGCUCUUUAUAGUGUGGCCUGCCAACUGAGCUGUGAAAAUGUACUCACGGGUAAAUUCUGCAAUAAAUUGUGCAACGAGCUGGGUACGUAUCUGGAACGCGAAGACGACGAGCCUAACUUUGCAAGGCUUCGAGGUGUGCUCAGAGAAAAUUACACCAGUCUGUCUGAUUACACUGUCAGAACCUGCUUGCUGUAUCUUGGUAUAUUCCCAGUUGAUCGCCCCUUCAAGAAAAAUGUCAUGAUUAGGCGAUGGUUGGCCGAAGGAUAUGCACGCCAUCAUCAAGGCCGGCACCAAACUGCAGCUAAUGAAAACUUCAAGACACUUAUCAACAGAAGCAUCAUCCUGCCUGUUGCUCCAAUCAGCAAUGCCAUAGGAAAGACAUGCAAAGCUCAUGGUAUCAUGCACGCAUUCACGUUGCACAAGUCCAUGUCUAAGAAAUUCAUCAUGCCCUUUGGUGCUCAGCAAAAAAAAGUUCGUCACUUCUUUAUCCACGAUAGCGAUGUCAUAAAUUCCAGAACCAUGCCUGAUAUUGAUUUAUCUCGUGUUCGAUCUCUGACAGUCAUAGGAAAUGCAUGUGAUGCUAUUUCCAAUUUUAGCCAGUACAAACUUACACGAGUGCUGGACAUGGAAGGGUGCAUUGAUGUGAGAGAUUGUCAUCUCAAAGAUAUAUGCAAGCUAUGGAAUCUGAGAUAUCUAAGCCUUGGGCCCAAUAUCACCAUGAUUCCCAAAGAAAUUGCACAACUAAAGUUGUUGGAGACACUUGAUGCAAGCAAGGCAAGGGUGAAUGUCCUGCCAGUGGAAGCUAUUGAACUACCCUGUUUGAUUCAUCUAAUUGGAAAAUUUAAGCUUCAAGACCCAGUCAAGACAGAGAGACUGCCAAAAGAAUGUAUGUUGGAGACCGUUGCGGGAUUCGUUGCUGACAAGGGUCGGGGAUUUUUGCUACUUAUGGACCAUAUGAAAAAGUUGAACAAGGUCAAGAUAUGGUGUGAGUGUGAGGAAACUGAACAAGAUCAGGCCGGCAUGAAUGGUAACCUUUCUAAGGCCAUCCAAAAGUACAUUGAAACUCCGAUGGGUGAAGACAACGUCCGCUCCCUGUCCCUUUACUUCCAAGGAUUGCCCCAAGGUUCCCUUUCUGCUCUAGAUCAAAUAUGUCAACACUACAGUUUGAGAGCAGGACAUGUAUGCCAUCUCAGCUCACUCAAGCUACAUGGCAACUCCAACCCAGCUAUAUUGCCUAAGUUUGUAGCUCUGUUUCGUGAUCUCACUAAGCUAAGCAUUUCGACCACCGUGUCUGUGACACGAUAUCUUCUGUCAGUCCUUGGUGAGAUGCCUGUCUUGCUUUACCUCAAGUUGGCUGCCAAUAGCGUCGACGGUUUGGUCAUACAACAUGGGAAGUUCAGGAGCCUGCACUGUCUGUGUCUUGAGCUGAAACUUGUGGGGACGUCUGUCCUAACAAUUGAAGAUGGAGCUCGGUCGGAAAUUAUCUCGCUCCAACUGAUCUGCAAGAAUCUAGUUGGUCUUUCCAACAUUGAAAUCACUCACCUUCGUGAGCUAAAGGAAAUUGCUCUACAUCCUGAUGUGGCUGAAGAAACAAGAAAAGCGUGGGAGGCAGAAGCGAGGAACCAUCAUAACAGGCCGAAUGUUUUGUCCAUCGCAGGUGAUCAUGAGGAGGAACCAGCACAUGAAUAUCACAUCCGAGAAGAACACCCUGCUGCCAAAAAUGAAACACCAGCGACAUGCUCUGCCUUGGCUCUUGAGGUGGAUCCGGAGAGCAAUGCAACAUCUCCCGUCAAACCUGGCCUCGUGGUUGAUUUUGCUAAAGGAGCCGAGUCAGCGCCGGCUUCAUGGCACGCGGCGCAACUGCAAACGGUGCCCACUUCAGCAACAUGCUAG
rnacentral:rRNA from 1 species